AACCAAGAAAUUAAGUUAUAUCAAACCGGUAAAAAUAUAGUUAAGCAUUCUACUAAUCUUAAUGCUUCUUGACUAUUCAUAAAAAAGUAAAAUUUAAAUAUGAAUAAAUAAUCCAAUAGCAGCUUUAUCUUGCUGAACCUAUGAUAGCCUCGAGGGAAACUGGGAUUAGAUACCCCAUUAUUCUUGGCUGUAAACUAAUAACACUUACCAGGGUACUACGAAUUCCACAAUUUAAAACUCAAAGAGCUUGGCGGUGUUUUAGACCUCUCAGGGGAACCUGUCUCAUAAUCGAUAAUCCACGUUAUACCUAACCUAUAUUUGUCAUCAGCCUGUAUACCGUUGUCGUCAGGUAACUUUUUAGAAAUCAGAAGUUAGCUAUAAGCCUUAAACUAUAACGUCAAAUCAAGGUGCAGCCAAUAUAAAGGCGAAGAUGGGUUACAAUUAUACAAUUAUAACACGUAUAGUUAUAAAAAUAAAUAACUAUCAAGGCGGACUUGAAAGUAAACUAAAUUAUAUAAACAAUUUGAAUUAGGCUCUGAAAUGUGU
rnacentral:rRNA from 1 species